GUCCCAAUAGAGCAAUAGAUAGCACGUUGAACUCCUAAUUCAAACGUCGUGGGUUUCGAAUCCCAUCUGGGAUG